AGUGGGGAAUAUUGGGCAAUGGAGGAAACUCUGACCCAGCGACGCCGCGUGCGGGAUGAAGGCCUUCGGGUUGUAAACCGCUUUCAGUAGGGAAGAAGCGAAAGUGACGGUACCUACAAAAGAAGCACCGGCUAACUAUGUGCCAGCAGCCGCGGUAAUACAUAGGGUGCAAGCGUUGUCCGGAAUUAUUGGGCGUAAAGAGCUCGUAGGUCGUUUGUUACGUCGGAUGUGAAAACCUGAGGCUCAACCUCAGGCCUGCAUUCGAUACGGGCAAACUAGAGUUUGGUAGGGGAGACUGGAAUUCCUGGUGUAGCGGUGGAAUGCGCAGAUAUCAGGAGGAACACCAAUGGCGAAGGCAGGUCUCUGGGCCAAUACUGACACUGAGGAGCGAAAGUCUGGGGAGCGAACAGGAUUAGAUACC
rnacentral:rRNA from 1 species